AGCUGCUGAUGAUUUUUCUUCUGACACCUCGUAUGAACUGCUCUGCAGUUUGUGAUUUUUGCUUUUCCAACCUGAGGCUC
ensembl:snoRNA